rnacentral:misc_RNA from 1 species
AAGAUCACUGCUCCCUCCGUCCCAUUUUAAGUGCAGUCAUAAUGUUCCGUGUCUAAUUUGGAUCGUUCGUCUUAUUAAAAAAAAUUUAAAAACAUAAGUCAAGCACGAAGUACUAUUUAUGUUUUAUCAUCCCAUAACAAUAAAAAUGCUAAUUAUAAAAAAAAAUUAAAUAAGAUGGACGAUUAAAGUUAGACACAGAAACUUAUGAUUGCACUUAAAAUGGGACGGAGGGAGUAAUAAUCAAGAUUUA